UUAUACAGCGAAACUGCGAAUGGCUCAUUAUAUAAGUUAUCGUUUAUUUGAUAGUACCUUACUACUUGGAUAACCGUGGUAAUUCUAGAGCUAAUACAUGCUGAAAAUCCCGACUUCGGAAGGGAGGUAUUUAUUAGAUUAAAAACCAAUGCCCUCUGGGCUCCUUGGUGAUUCAUGAUAACUGUUCGAAUCGCACGGCCUUGCGCCGGCGAUGGUUCAUUCAAAUUUCUUCCCUAUCAACUUUCGAUGUUUGGGUAUUGGCCAAACAUGGUCGCAACGGGUAACGGAGGGUUAGGGCUCGACCCCGGAGAAGGAGCCUGAGAAACGGCUACUACAUCCAAGGAAGGCAGCAGGCGCGCAAAUUACCCAAUCCCGAUUCGGGGAGGUAGUGACAAUAAAUACUGAUACAGGGCUCUUUUGGGUCUUGUAAUUGGAAUGAGUACAAUUUAAAUCUCUUAACGAGGAACAAUUGGAGGGCAAGUCUGGUGCCAGCAGCCGCGGUAAUUCCAGCUCCAAUAGCGUAUAUUAAAGUUGUUGUGGUUAAAAAGCUCGUAGUUGAACCUUGGGCCUGGCUGGCCGGUCCGCCUCACCGCGUGUACUGGUCCGGCCGGGCCUUUCCCUCUGUGGAACCUCAUGCCCUUCACUGGGUGUGGCGGGGAAACAGGACUUUUACUUUGAAAAAAUUAGAGUGCUCCAGGCAGGCCUAUGCUCGAAUACAUUAGCAUGGAAUAAUAAAAUAGGACGCGUGGUUCUAUUUUGUUGGUUUCUAGGACCGCCGUAAUGAUUAAUAGGGACAGUCGGGGGCAUCAGUAUUCAAUUGUCAGAGGUGAAAUUCUUAGAUUUAUUGAAGACUAACUACUGCGAAAGCAUUUGCCAAGGAUGUUUUCAUUAAUCAGGAACGAAAGUUAGGGGAUCGAAGACGAUCAGAUACCGUCGUAGUCUUAACCAUAAACUAUGCCGACUAGGGAUCGGACGAUGUUAUUUUUUGACGCGUUCGGCACCUUACGAGAAAUCAAAGUGCUU
rnacentral:rRNA from 1 species